CAGAGACUAUUUGAACAUGGUGGAUAUCCGGUGCCUGAGUAUCAAAGUGACGAAGAAGCAGUUAAUGGAAUGGGAAAUUUACUGAGGAAAAUUGAGGGAAGUCCAAUAUUGUUAGUCCUGGAUGAUGUUUGGCCCGGCUCAGAAGACCUAGUCGAGAAAUUUAAAUUCCAGAUAUCAGAUUAUAAAAUUUUGGUCACUUCAAGGGUUGCAUUUUCUAGAUUUGACAAAACCUUUAUCGUAAAUCCUCUUGUUCACGAAGAUUCGGUGACCCUUUUCCGUCACUACACACAGUUGGGAAAAAACAAUUCAAAAAUUCCCGACAAAGAUCUUAUCCAAAAGGUGCUUGUUCUUCUUGUACUGACACCAUUUGAGCACCAAUGUUAUAUAAUCUGCUGAUUGCUGACUAUAUUUGUGUGCUUUGAAAUACAGAUUGUGGAAAAUUGCAAAGGUUUACCUCUUGCCAUUAAAGUGAUUGCAACAUCACUCACUAAUCGUUCAUAUGACUUGUGGGAAAAGAUUGUGAAGGAACUUUCUCAAGGUCGUUCUAUACUUGAUUCUAGUACUGAAUUACUUACUCGCCUCCGAAAGGUCUUGGAUGUUUUGGAAGAUAAUGCUAUUAACAAGGAGUGCUUCAUGGACCUUGCAUUAUUCCCUGAAGACCUGAGAAUUCCCGUUUCUGCUCUCAUUGAUAUGUGGGCGGAGUUGUAUAAACUAGAUGAUGAAGGCAUAGAAGCAAUGGCCAUCAUCAACAAAUUAGACUCUAUGAAUCUGGCUAAGGUCUCAAUAGCAAGGUAUAAUAUAACGACUACCAAAUAUAUCUAACAUGAAUUAUAUGGGGCAGAAAAUUUAAUAGCUCGAAGAGCUAUUCUAAGAAGCAUUGGAUUCCUAAAUUAACGUUAUAAACAGACCAUUUGUCUUGGAUUGAAUUUAAACUUUUCACAAAUUGUAACUUUGCAAUUUGCAUUGAUAAUUUUUAAUUCCAAGGGAAGAAGUCAAUAAUUGUAAUUAAACUAUCAAAUACAGAACAAGCUUUUUUAUCUAGUGUUUAGAGUUUUCUCUUCAAGGAAUACUAACUUUUGUUUGUUUCUCAGGAAAAAUGCAAGUGACACAGAAAGUUACUACUACAAUAGCCACUUCAUAUUCCUUCAUGAUCUUCUAAGAGAGCUAGGAAAUUAUCAAAACAACCAGGAACCAAUUGAACAAAGAAAAAGACUUCUUAUUGAUGCAAAUGAAAACACACAUGACCGGUGGCUUAUGGAGAAGCAGCAGGGCACAAUGACCCGCAUAUUGUCCAAUUUUUUUAAAUUGUGUGUUAAACCGAAGCCUCAACAGGUCCCUGCUCGCACAGUGUCUAUAUCAACUGGUUAGUUAUACUUUCACCUUUCUCUAAAUGUAUUCACUAACUUGCAAGUUAAAAAUAACAUCAACUCUAAAUAUAUCCACAAUUGAUUCCAUGUGUUGCGUUUUCAGAUGAAACUUGUGCUUCUUCAGAUUGGUCCCAAGUGCAGCCAGCUCAUGUUGAGGUUCUGAUUUUAAUUCUUCAAACCGAACAGUACACACUUCCAGAAUUGAAGGAGAAAAUGAGCAAACUAAGAGCUCUUAUAGUCAUAAAUCAUGGUUUACGCCCUUCUGUACUGAACAAUUUUGAGCUAAUUAGCUCUUUAUCCAACCUGAAAAGAAUCAGGCUAGAGCGGAUUUCUGUUCCUUCCUUUGGCACAAUGAAGAAUCUCAAAAAAUUAUCCCUCUACAUGUGUAAUACAAGACUAGCUUUUGAAAAGGGUAGCAUCCUAAUUUCAGAUUUGUUUCCUAAUUUAGAAGAUUUGAGCAUUGAUUAUUCCAAGGAUAUGGUGGCAUUGCCUAAUGGGGUGUGUGACAUUGCCUCAUUAAAAAAGCUCAGUAUUACUAAUUGCCAUAAGCUUUCUUCGCUGCCCCAAGAUAUUGGAAAGUUGAUGAAUUUGGAACUCUUGAGCCUGAUCUCAUGCACUGAUUUGGUAGAGUUGCCAGAUUCUAUUGGAAGGCUUUUAAAUCUAAGACUACUUGACAUCUCCAACUGCAUAAGCCUUUCAAGUUUACCUGAGGACUUCGGCAAUCUGUGUAAUCUAAGAAAUCUAUACAUGUCUAGUUGUACAAGUUGUGAAUUGCCAUUUUCAGUUGUCAAUCUUGCGAAUUUAAAGGUGAUAUGUGAUGAAGAGACGGCUGCUUCAUGGGAAUCUUUCCAAUCUAUGAUUUCCAAUCUCACUAUAGAGGUUCCUCAAGUUGAAGUCAACUUAAAUUGGCUUCAUGCAGGUCGCUCCUAAAAUUUGCAUGCGCUCUUCCUCUGCCUUUGCUAAUCUUUGUGGCAGUGUUCUUCAAAUGAAUGAAUACUUAUCAUGGGUAAUAGAGGUGGUUGUUGGUACCUCAGAAAUGGCUCCCAACGGAGGGGCUGAGUGGAUGCUAGCUCUUAGGUACAGCUCACAUCAACCAUCCGAACUGCUUCAUCAGGUGGUGACCUCUGGCCUUUCAACACUUGGGGGCUAGACAUUCUUUGGCCUUUCCACCUGCACCAGGUUUGUUAAUUCAUCAACCAUUCUUUGGUGAAUCAUCCACAAGCAAAUAAACAGGUUGGAUCAACUAACAAAAUCAUUUUCAAUGAAUGAAGAAAAUGAUUGGAUCAAGCAAAAGCAGAAUAGACAGAGGAGCUAAUAAGAGUAUUGUAGACAAAUCACAUUACACCCCAGUCAUCAACACAUAAAACACCUUUCAAACUUGUCUACAUAUUUCAUGCAAUGGUAUCAGUAUAACUCACAUCAGCUUCAAUCUGUGCGAAUUUAAUAAAUGAGUCCGCAUCGAGAUCAAACAGGAGAAUAGAUCUUGACUUACUCUACGAAGUCAGGGAACUAGUGUACAUAACUAAGUAUGUUUCAAAACUUAGGACUGCAAAUAGGUAUAACAGCAAAGUUAAAUCUAGAAAUUUCAAGGAAGGAGAUUAGUCUUACGGAAGACCGAGAAGGUAACGAAUAAAAAACACGGAAAGCUAGCGGCUAGUUGGAAAGGACCAUAUGGAUCAGCUCCGCUCUGUGCAAAAGAGCAUACAAGCUAGAAGGCCGAGCUAGAAACAUUUAUCUGAGAUUGUGGAAUGCCACACACCUCAAACUCUAUUUAUUUAGAUUUCUUGUAAUAUGAUGUACUCUUUUUCCUGCUUGGACCUUUUUUCUCGAAAAAGUUUUUGGUUCUUGGAGGUUUUAACUAGCACAUCUUUUUUUUUCCAUUUCAUUAUCAAUAAAGUCUUUGUUCAUUAUACUAUGAUCUCCAUUAAAAGAAAACACAUAAGCCUGAUGUGUUUCCGUCAAUGAGUCAAUUCAAUAUAUAAUAUAAGCUUGAACAGGCAAAUACAGUAUUUCUUUUAUUUAUCUCAGUAUAAAUAGCCUUACAACACAUGAACUUUACAUAGAAGAUUGCAUAAAAAGGAAUAUACAUGUACAAUUACAAGUCUUAUAUCAUCUAGGUGAAGAUGCAACAUCCAACAGGACAAACCCAUAUCCUACCCCAUGUACCAUCUCAGGAGUAAAAGAUGAGGCACAGUUUCACGUCAGCAAUCUGGUAUUAAUGUAAGGGAGGAACUCCUUUACAACUAGAAAAUGUAGUAUUCAAAUUUUCUUGAAAAUCAAUCAACCAAGGAGGCUCUCUUUUGGUAAACCAUAUUGUUCUCACAAAUCAGGGCAUAAAUGUUCACUGUUGGUCAAUAUAUUGGUUCUUAAACUCACCAUCAACGAGUGAUAAAAACAGUAUGUUUGACCAAUAACGAACAACCUCAGCCGAAUUUAAUAUACACGUCUCAAACUUUUGAAGAAUUAAAAUUUGGAGAAUGUUUCAAAGCUAGCGAGGGAAACAGAAAAUUGAUUCAUAGCAAAGGAAACAACUAUUUUAUAAGCCAAAACCAAAACAUAAAAGUUAAUGAAAAACAGUGUCUUCUUAAGGUUCUCGACCUUGUCCUUCAAAAACAACUUACUCGACUUUAACCUUUUCAUCUCGUAUUCCAAUAUUUUGAUCUCCCAUGUCAGACCUUCAAAUUUGACACCAACAUCUUCAAACACUUUUUCAACUUCCUUCCUUGACUUCUUCUCAUCCUCCAAAAGUUUUUCAAUUUCUUACUUGUCUUACAAGCAACAAUCAUUUUUCUUUUCGGCCAGCUUGUGCAACCUUUUUUGAAGGUUAUCUUUGCCAUUCCUCGCCAUGUCUAACCUAUACUCUCUCGCAUAGAUAUUUUAUUGUUAUUGUUGGGCAGCACAUAGAGCACGAAGGAGGUAAGAUGUGGAAACCACACACAGACAUUUUUUAGCCGAAAACUUUGUACAGUAUGUUGAUAAGACGCGACAGGGUGAUCUGCAACAGGACAGUUGAGUAAACCCCAUGUUACUGGCAGCUGCAAGCAUGACAUUCUUUGAAGAACACGACCAAUUGUUACCGGCAUUUGUUACCGAGGGGAAUUAUUUGGAAGCGGUUCCUCUAACGUUUUUGUGGGAACUCACAUUUGAGGGACAUAAUUUCUCCCUCUAUAUCAAUCAUUUAGAAAAUGAAUCCCAUUGAGAAAACACAGCCAACCUCAGCUGAAUUUAGCUUCCAUCAACAGCGGGUUAAUUAUGGACCAAAUUUAAAUGAGACGGGUCAACCUGCAUUGCCAUCUGUAUUUGAAAUUAGGGGUGUUCGUGGUGCAAUUUCAAUCGGUUUUGAGACAAAAACUCAUCUGAUCCAAAGUUAAAUUACCUGCGGUUCAGUUUUUGACGACUCGUUUAAAAAAUUGGAUCUGAAUUGAUCCAAUUUAAUGCAUAUUAUUUUGGAUUGGUUCUUGAAUAUGCAAAUUACAAAUUGUAAAUAAUAAGUUUGAUGCAAAAUAUAACACAUAAUAUGUUGAUGAAAAUUUUCGAUUAUAUUUCAAACAUAGAAAAUAGUAAAAAGUAUAAUAAAUUAAAUUGGGAUAUAGGUGGAAGAUUGGAGAUGGCUCCCAGAUCAAAGUUUGGUCCACAUCAUGGAUUCAUUCACUUUCUACUCUUCGACCCUCAACAACGCCACCUCCACAUCUGGAACAUUUAUUGGUUCGUGAUUUAAUAAAUCCUGAUUUGCAUACUUGGAAUAGUUCGCUCAUUAGUAACAUCUUUUCCAUCUCAGAAGCUUCGGUCAUUUGCAGACUGCCACUCCAUACGUGUAACCUGCAUGAUACUCGAGUUUGGCAAAUCGGCUUAUAACUUAUGCAUGUCUCUGAAAACUGACGCUAAUGUUUCCCCCACUGCAGCUGCGCAUAAUUGGAACAUUAUUUGGAUACAACAUGUGCCUCCUAGAGUAUGUUCCCUGUUAUGGAGAAUGGCUCAUUGUUGCCUUCCAACCCGCACUCGCUUGAUCCAGAAAGGUUUAUCUAUUGACGAUACUUGUGUUCAUUGCGAUGUCCUGGAUGAAUCCCACAUCUAGUCAUUCUUUGUGUGCCCAAAAGCAAUCAAUUGUUUGAACAAGUCCAAUUGGAUGGUAUUGUGCGAGAGUUACCACGUGAUGCUAUUGAUUUCAGAUCUCUUCUUUUUUAUUUCUUUAGCAGGUUACAAACACAUACCCAGGCAACAACAUCUAUUAUUCUAUGGAGUUUGUGGAAAAAUAGAAACUCUAAAUUAUGGCAAGCAGGGACACACCCUCCUCAUCAUUGAUCGUUCAGCGAGCGCAUAAUUCCCUUCAUGAAUGACCCUGUUUACAAAGAGCAAGACAAUCUAACCAAAAUAUUUCAGUUUAAAAUACAAUGUAGAUUGUGCCCUCUUCAACAACAAUACCAUCACAUGGCUCGUCAUCUGCUAUCGAGACUCUUCAGGGGCAUUACAUUAUGGAUCAUCUAACUACUCUUUAUAUACUUCUUCCCCUUCAGAAGCCGAGGCUCUAAGCCUUAACCUUCGCUGACAAUCAAGGCAUUGAGUCUGUCAUAUUUGAGUCUGAUUGUAAGCUAGUUCUUUUAUUCUAUUUGGCAAGUAUUUGGAAGUGUUGGCUAAAGGGAAAACAUCACAAGCUAUUGCGAAACUCAUGGAUUUAACACCUGAUACAGCAACCUUACUAACUCUUGAUGAUGAUAAGGGAAAUGUUAUAGGUGAAAGAGAAAUUGAUAGCAGGUUGAUACAGAAGAAUGAUGUGAUCAAAGUUGUGCCGGGCGCGAAAGUAGCAUCAGAUGGUUUUGUUGUUUGGGGACAAAGUCAUGUAAAUGAGAGUAUGAUAACUGGUGAGGCAAAGCCUGUUGCUAAGAUGAAGGGUGAUAUGGUGAUUGGUGGUACUGUGAAUGAAAAUGGUGUUUUGCAUGUUAAGGUAGCAAGGGUUGGAUCAGAAACUGCACUUUCCCAGAUUGUUAGACUUGUUGAGUCUGCUCAGAUGGCUAAAGCUCCUGUCCAGAAAUAUGCUGACCAGAUUUCUAAAUACUUUGUUCCUAUAGUAAGUGUAAAUUACUAAUACUAACUAGCUCCGUGAUUUUUACGAAAACUAAACUACUGAGCUUCAACAAAAUCACGGUGUCAAUACAAUUUUGUCAAAUUCACCGUGAUUUCAAACAUGUAUUAUGUGUUUAAACAUUUAAGUCAAAUAAUAGAAUUGUAUUUUACAUAUACUUACUGGUGCCUGUUUUUGUAGGUGAUUGUGUUAUCUCUUUCAACAUGGAUAUCAUGGUUUGUAGCUGGAAAAUUGCAUUCAUACCCAAAAUCAUGGAUACCAUCUUCUAUGAAUAAUUUCGAGCUUGCACUUCAGUUUGGAAUUUCAGUCAUGGUCAUAGCUUGUCCUUGUGCUCUAGGCCUCUACUCCUACAGCGGUCAUGGUUGGUACUGGAGUUGGUGCAACUCAAGGUGUGUUGAUCAAAGGUGGCCAAGCAUUAGAAAGUGCACACAAGGUGAAGGCAAUUGUUCAAAACAAGGAAAUAAUGGUUGGAAAUAAAAAACUGAUGUUAGAUCAUAACAUAGCUAUUUCAGUGGAAGCUGAAGAAAUACUAGCAGAAGCUGAAAACAUGGCUCAAACAGGAAUUUUGGUAUCAUUGGAUGGAGAAAUUGUUGGAGUUUUGGCUGUGUCUGAUCCACUGAAACCUGAUGCAAAAGAAGUUAUUUCUAUUCUUAAAUCCAUGAAAAUAAAGAGCAUAAUGGUGACAGGUGAUAAUUGGGGAACUGCAAAUUCUAUAGCUAGACAAGCUGGUAUUGAAACUGUCAUGGCAGAGGCUCAACCUGAAACUAAAGCUAUUAAAGUAAAAGAAUUGCAGGUACACACAAAAUUAUGGUCCCCAAUUACCAAAUUAUUGCUUCACUCCUUUAGGGUUUCCUCUCAUGGUUUUAAUACUUUGUUCAUUGUAGGACAUUUAUUCAAUUAUUAUAGUGUUUAUUGGUUUUAAUCUCUAAAAAAUUUUAUUUGGAUUGAGUCCGUGCAAAUUCAAUAACUGCUGUUUUUUAGUCUUUAACGUCAGCUUAUUGGGUCACAUAUGACGUCAGAGACUAAAACCAAUCGUGUUUAAUUUGUAAGGAUUGAAUCUGAACAAAAUAUUUAGCGGGACUAACCAAGUAAUUUGACUCAAAUAGUCAAUAAGCUCCUCUAGGACGAAUCAUUCAGGAAAACUCGAAUUUGAUUUUUGCUGGCAACAAUUUUUGGUCAGACUUUAUUUAUCCGAGUUCAAAAUAAUUUGCAAUAAUUGCAAAAACUAAAAUCAUAUUUAACCUUCAUUUUUUUUAUAUAUUAAAAUUGAACAAAAUUUACUUAGACUUCAAAUAAUUAAAAUUUGUAGGGACCAAAAAUAUAUUAACCCUAUAUAAUCUUUAGACAAUCAUGUGAUAGUUAUUUGACAUACUUGGUGGCAGAAUUCUGGAUACACAGUAGGAAUGGUAGGAGAUGGUAUAAAUGAUUCACCAGCACUAGUAGCAGCUGAUGUUGGAAUGGCAAUUGGUGCUGGAACAGACAUUGCUAUUGAAGCAGCUGACAUUGUUCUUAUGAAGAGUAACUUAGAGGAUAUAAUAAUUGCCAUUGACCUUGCAAAGAAAACUUUCUCACGUAUACGUCUAAAUUAUAUUUGGGCUUUAGGUUAUAAUAUUCUAGCCAUUCCUAUUGCUGCUGGCAUACUUUUUCCUUCUACUAAAUUUAGGUUACCACCUUGGAUUGCUGGAGCUGCAAUGGCUGCUUCUUCUAUCAGUGUUGUUUGCUCUUCUCUCUUGUUGAAGAAAUACAAGAAACCAACCAAGCUUAACAACUUGGAGAUGAAUGGUAUUCAGAUUGAAUAAUCAACUUGUCAAUUGUAUAUUUGUAACUAUAAUAACUAGGCUUGUUUAUUGGGAGCAACAUUUUGUUAUGUUGCAAUUGUAAUUUCAAUGUAAAUUAAAAAGUAAGUAAUUAUUUUUCUUAAAAAAAGUAAUUAGCUUUAGUAAAAAUAGAUGUUUUAUAUGUACAAACUAUAUUAAGGAACAAUUAUUUUUAAUCUGGAAGAAUGUUGAAAUUAUGAUUAUAGGCAUUUUAUAAUAAGGUGUUCAAAUUCAGUACAUGUUGGAACAUCAAUGAAAAUAUGAGAACUAGCUAGAGAUGUGGGCCACAUCUAGCUAUCCUUGAUGGAGCGUGAGCUACCGAUCAUUUGUUUCUCUUAAUAAACUCAACACGAGUUUUCCAAAUGAAAAAAGAAAAAACGUCCACACUACCUAUUAAUGUCUCCGAAUUCUUUGACGUCAAUCUUAUCACUAUUAAAAAGAUCAAUUGAUCUUUUAGUGUAGUGUAAUCCACUUGACCACUUGUCCCAGAUGCAAGUCAUGAACUCAAGUGAGCGGAUGAAGAUGGCCCAAGGCUUCCCCUAUUUGGUGAAAUCCGAAUUGUUUUGGCGAUUUUGAUGUGAACAGAAUGGUCCGCCAGAGUUGCAUUUGUAGCGCCCGGUCGCUGGUUUCAUCCAAUUUGUAUCAGAAUGUCUGGUGUAACAGCUCCACCCAAAUAUGCAGUGUAUUCUCCCUGCUCCAAUUUUCAGUCAAGUAUUUGACCAUGUCCAUAAUUUGCAAACUAGCUUCAAAGACAUUAUUCCUCAAUUUUCGCUCCUUUAAAAUAGUCCCAAAUCAGUCUGAAAAAUUCAGACGAAAACUUAAUCGUCCGAAAACACAGUUUUUUUUAGUAGCGUCGUUUUAGUUUUGUUAGCUUUCUAGCUUAUUGAACUUAUGAUUUUUUUACAUUGAAACUUUAAAAAGUAAUUAUUUUUUACAUAAAACUUAUCUAUUAUUAAAGAUAUUAAUGGUCAAAAUUGUACAUUGACAUAUGUGAAGUGGACUUGAACAUGUAUUUUGAAACGAGAGUAUAUUUUAAGGUUACAAGACUAAGAUUUUAAUGUUAAGUCAUGUAAUAUUGAUGAUAUUCAUUAACUACAACUUGUGCUCAAAUAUAUCUAAAAAGAGGUGGUCAAUAAUGUCGAAAAUUAACCAUGGUUAAUGAGUUGAGGGAUGGUUAUCAACUAAGAAUAACUAACCACAUAUUUAAAUUGUAUUAACAAUCUAUAAUCUAAUUUUGAUGUGGAAUUUAUGUUUCCAAAGACCAUUUUUCUUUUCUAAGAACAAUAAGAAAUACGCGGUUAACUUUUGCUAACACCACUGAUAUAUAGCACCUUGAUGUGAUUAUGUGUCAACACGACAUUGAAACGAAAAAGCAAAGAAAGUAACAUAGAGAGGAAAUUACAAGGAAACUUCGUGAUAAAAUAUCUAUAUAAACCUUCAUUGAUUUCCUCUUUCUUCAACAAAAAAUUUCAAUUUCAUUUUCAUCAACAAUAACAACAAUGAUAGGCAUUAGGCAAGACAGAAGUACAACACCUGGUUGUCGUUUCAAAGGUAUAAUAUGCUAAACUUUCACUUUUAAAUCCUCGUUGUUUUUUCUUCAUUUUAUAACUUGUUCUUUGUUCGAUUUGAAUGUAAAAAAGGAAGGAAAAAUAAUUAAACAGGUUAGGUUGGUCCAUGCAAAGUGUUCGACAACACAUGAUUCAGCAUCUUAGCGUUCAAUGCGGGAAAAGAUAUUAACAACUAGCAAUAUAUGAACUUUGAGAGCCUAAAAUCAAAAUCAUUGACUAAACUCUAUGACUAUUCUUAGGGUAUGUUUGGAUUGAGGGUUUAGGAAGGGAAGGGAGAGUUUACUUUUCUUUUUUAAAUUCCGGACUAUAUAACAUAUUUUUUUAAAAUAAAUUUAGUAUGAUUGAAGUAUGAUAUGAUUGUUUAUCAUGAUAAUAUGUUAACUUUUUAAAAAAAAAAAAACAUUUUUAUUGUGUUCGUAAUCACAUAUAUAUAAGUUUUUAUUGUUCUACUCUAUUUUUAAAACUUCACCAAUCUUCACUUCGAAACAAAAAAGUUGAAAGAUGAUUAAUAUAUGUGGACUAAAUUUUUAAAUAUAAAUAUUGAGUUUUCAAAUACUAUUUUUGUUUAUAUCUCAUUCGGGAGGGAAUAAAUUGUUAUCAUAAUUACAAAAUACAGAUGUUUAACCUUAGGAUUGAGAGUGAAAACCCAUUUAAUUUUAAAGUCUUUUUUUGGACAAUUUGUGACCCUCUAACUUGAUUCCUAAAACAUUGUCGAUUCCAAUUUUAUGAAGGCAACUUCUUUUUUUUUUGUCAGAUUUUAUGAAGGCAACUUAAUCACUUGCUAUAUUAAUAUAUGUCAUAUUCUUAAUUUGACAUCUUGGGACAUUGCAAAUCUUAUGUCAACUACAAUUUAUUUUAGAAUUAAUAUUAAAACAUAUCUACAAUGCUUUCGAACAUUAGAAGAGAAUGUGAAAUGGUACAAGAUGUUUGGAAGCAUUGUAGAUAUCUUUUUUUUUUUUUUAUAAAAGAGGGUAAAAGUCCAUUGUAAAUAUCUUGUUUUAAUUUCUAUCGAAAUGACUUUUUAAAAAGAUUGUUUUUUGAAGAAAUUGGUGAUGAUUUGGCGACAAAAAUGCAAAGAGAAAAAUACUAAAAUGUCUAAUGAAUUUUCUUUUUUUGAGAGAGCCCUAAUGAAUUUUCUUGUUCUUUGUCUGCACAGGGGAACUAAAAUUUUGGGGAUGGUGCGGCUAUGAAGUAUGAUUUAUGAAUCACAUUAUUUAAAAAUAUUAAAAUUAAAAUCAUGAUGAAUGCUAAAAACCUAAAAAAAAAAAAAAAAAAAAAAAAAAAAAACAAGAAAAACCAUCAUUAAUUAAAUGGUAUAGAUGAAUGGAUGGAUAGACACACCAAUUUUUUUUUGAAAAAGCUAAGUGAAUAUAUUAAACAACUAAGAGAAACCCUUCUAGCACAAGAUGUAUUAGAGGAAACUUAAAAAUUUAAAACCUACAAGAAUUACAAAAUAGGUUGUAAGCACAAUAAAACAACGUUCAACCGAGUAAUCAAAUGUAAUAUGAUUUUAACAAAGGCUUGCCAAUUGUUAACAUUUUCAAAUGUUGCCAUAUAAUAUAGUAAUCUUAUAUUCAACUGGUGAACAAAUUCUAUUUAUAAUCAACUAAUAUGAAAAAAUUCAGUCCAUCCACCAUAUGCUUAAUAAAAGGCUUAAUUUUAUUUUGGUCCCAAUAUUUUCACUAAUCACAAUUUUUUUUUUUCUAUUUUAAAAUCAUUCAGCUUUGGUGCCUCCAUCCAAAUUUUGUUGUAGCAAAAUAGUGAUUUGAUAUCUUUUGAAUAACGUAACAUACGACCCGAUUAUGUGAAGUGAUCAACAAUCAUAUAAUUAUAAGAAAAAUUAUUUUAGUUUCAAAUUAUGUUUCACAAAAAAAUACAAAAAUCUAAUGAAGGAAUCAAAACUGAAUGAUUUUAAAAUAUGGGAUAAAUUCCAUAAAUAAUUGAAAAUCGGUGGAUCAAAUAAUUAAAUCUUAAUAAAAAUAAUCUAAUCCAUAUCCAUAUAUAUUAAAAGUUAUUGAUAUAUGGAUAACCAAUCUACCCCUAAAAUUAUAUUUUGAAUCAAUUAGAAAUAUUAAACAAAAAGGAAGACUAGUUACAACAUAUUUUUGAAAAAAUUAAGCUUCAAUGAAUGGUUGAAAGUGAAUCACAUUAAUUUUACUUUCGAGUGUUGCAUGUCACCACUAAACAUUAUCAAAUGCUCCUUGAUUAAUUAUGGUGGUUUCCUUCACACACUAAAAUUUCGGGAUUAGGAGUCACUUUGAGAAAGUCACUACCAUCUUCUGAAAACCUCCCAGUUUGUGAUUUUUCAAGAUUUUGUAAUCUGAUAUCUGGAAUUAAAAUUUUAAAUUGAUGAAGAUGUGAACAGUUAAUAGAUCAUGGGGACUUUGCGGAGGAAAACUAAGGGACAACAAUGAUUAUUGAGAAGCCGCCAAUAGAAAUUUCAACUCCAGAUAUCAUAUUAUAAAAUUUUGGUGACUUCAGAGGUUAGUAAGAUGCAGUAAUCUUCAAAGGUUAAGUAUAUGCUCAGUUGAAAAUGAAAACAGUUCAAAUAUUCCUAACUUGACAAAGAUUUUGUCCAAAAGCUCCGUGCUCUUUUCUUCUGACUUCUUGUAGUAAACAUCGAAAGAUUGCAGGACCAUUAAGAAUUCAUUGUUUUCCUUGAUCACUUUUCAUUAAAUUCACGUAAAAUGAGUUUUGUAUAAUGUAUUUGAAGUUUUGAUGAUAACAAAAUACUCCCUCCAUCCCGAAUUAGCUGAGCCAUUUUUUCUUUUCACACAUAUUAAGACAAAUGUAUAAAUGAAGGAGAGAGAAUAGUGGUUUUAAGUGAUCUUCACUAUCAUAUAUAAAUGCAAAGUGGAAUAUAUUGAAUUGAAAGUUGUGAAAGUAGUAUUAAUUAGAGUUAUAAAAGGAAAAAAGUAAUUAAUAUUGUAUUGAGUUAUAAAGAAUAAUUGGAUGGAUAUGUUAAUGUAUGUUUAAAUGUGUAGGAUUGUAGACUAAAAUUUUAAGUAUUAAAAUCAAGUUUGAUUCUGGAAGAACAUAUACGAGAGCAUUUGAAUAUUGAGGAAAACUGAAGUUCUCGACCAGACUCUAAAGACUCAAGUCUCUAAAGGAUAUCAGACUCUGAAGGUCAGAAGUAUCUGGAAAUUACCUGACUCUGAAGAAUGAAGACUCUAAAGAACACGUCAAACUUAUCGUCUUCUGAAGAUGUCACUAUCAGACUGAGACGGUACAUUUUUUUUUCUUCUGACCACGUGCAGGAACAAACAAAGAACUUCAAAGACAAAUGAAAUGAAAUGGAUAAUUCAUUUUGAAGCAAAGAAAUUUCAAAUAUCUUUUCAACGACAUUAACCAAAUCAAGAAACAUUCUAAUGUCUAUGAUCAAGCUUCUCAAAGACCCUAAAACACGUGAUGGCACCUCUCCAACGCCUCCAAUAUCCUUCACUAUAUAAGGAGUCGAAGACUUAAAUAAAUUAACAAGACUGCUAAAAGUGCCCUUACUAUGUCAAAAUUAAUAGCGCAUUUGAACUUAGAAUUUCUUACAAAUUUUAAAUCUAAGAAAUUCGUAAGUCUUAAGAGUUUUAAUCUGUUUUGUAUUUGUUUACCUCUCUGAUUGUAUAUUAAGUGUAAAAUCAAACAAUCUUUUAUUUGAUUAAGUUGGAUUUUGCGAGAAGUCUUUUUUCAGUUGUGAUUGAGCAUUAAAGUCUCUUGCUUGUGUGCUUAAGCAUUUGUAAUUUUUAGUGAUUAUAGUGAAAAUCCCUUGGAAAUGCAAGGAGACUAGAUUACUCUCGGUUUAUGACAUGAACUAGUACAAAUUGCUCUCUCUCUCUCUCUCUCUCUCUCUCUCUCUCUCUCUCUCUCUCUCUCUCUCUCUCUCUCUCUCUCUCUCUCUCUCUCUCUCUCUCUCUCUCUCUCUCUCUCUCUCUGUGUGUGUGUGUGUGUGUGUGUGUGUCUGUUUUGGUCUUAUAACCUCUGCAUUCAGAACUCUACAUCAGACUUUAAACACUACAUUCAGACUCUGAUUAGUAAGAACACUUAGAAAAGGUAAACACAAUUCAACUCUACAUCAGACUUUAAACACUACAUUCAGCUUCUCAAACUCAUACUCGGUGAUUGAGGCAAGGUCACUAGUCCAAUAUAUAGAAAACUUACGCUCACCUUCAAAUACUAGCGUAGCUUCAAGACAAUCCCCCCAUCUCCCUCUCUUGAACUCAAAAGUAUUUCUCCUUACAGUUCUUAUAGUUUGAUAUAUAAGUUGGAAAUUGGCUCCUAUUGAGAUGGGUGCUGGUAGAGACCUAUAAUCUUUUAUCAAGGCCCUUGUUUCAUAUAAGGAAAAAAGCAUGCCCAUUGAGGGCUGAAACCAAUGUUUUAAAAAUCGAACCGGACCGAUUCAACCAGUUGACCCGGGAACUGGACCAAACACCGGUCCGGACAACACUUUAAAACCAGAAGUCUAUAGAACUAGAAAGGAACCAAGAAAACCGAUAUAAACUGGGAAAAAUGGAAAAACCGAUGAGUUGGUUUUGGUGAACCGUCCAGAUUCACUUUUCUUCUAAAUUUCUUUUCCAUAAAAAAUUCUUCUUUCCCUUUUGAUUUGUGGAUAUUGAAAUUUUAAGAGUUUCUAAUUUUUUUUGUAUGAUAAGACUUUUAUUUUUGUGUACCUAUAUGCUAGAUGUUGAAGAAUCUGGAUCUGCUUGUUUAUUUUUGAAGGAGUUCUUGGUGUUGCACUAACAAAAAUAAUUGGGUUGUAUAAUAUUAUAAAUAAGAAAAAAGAAGAAACAUCAUCACAUAAAGCAUAAGAAUAAGAAAUAAUAAGAAUAUGUGCUAUGAAAGAAGAAGAAUAAUGGAAAACAGCAUCCUAUGUGUGUAAUGCAUCGUGUGAAAAAAAGAUGUCAUUUAGGGUUACAAAAGGAUUGUUGAAUACAAUUAUAUUGGCUAUAAAAGAUUAAUUCAAUUGGGCUAUAAAAGAUUGGUGAAAAAAAGUAUUUUGGAUCUAUAAAGUGUUGGAACAAAAUAAUAUGGACUGUAAUCUAUAAUAAAAAAUUAAAUUUAUUUAUCAAUUAUUAAUAAUCUGGUUUAAUAACGGUUUAACCGGUUGAACCGGUUGAACCUUGACCCGAACAUCACAACGGUUUAACCUCUGGUCCAAUUUUAUAAACAUUGGCGAAACCCCAAGCUUUCGCACGAGAUCUCGAAACCGCACAUGAACGCACAACAGUUUGGAUGAAGUUGUGAUGAAGCGACGUUAAGAGCCUUAAGGAAAUCACACUCAAAGUUAGUAAAAGGAAACUUAAACCCUAUAUCCUCAAAAACAAACGAAUACAUAUGAAGCAUCUCCAUCUUCACUCCCUAAGGACAUUGGAGGCACACCUUCUCGCCAAGCCUACAAGGUUCCACAAUAAUAUCUGCCUCCCAAAUAGUAUACGAGAUAUCCACUUUACUCCUAAAAAAUGACACCCUCUUGUUGGUUACGAAAAGAGAGUCCAAGCAGACAACAACCACAGCAAAGACAUGGGAUAACAAAUUUCCCUCUUACCUACUCCUGGGGAACGAGAAAUUAAACCACAAUCAAUAUCCUAGCUAGAACUAUCAUCAUUACUGUCAGAAUCACUCGAAAUCUCUCCCAAUAGUAAAUGUCUAUAAUAACCCAUUUCGAAGACAACCUGUUUGUAACUCCAAUCCAGAUGUUUUGUAAUUUUGAUACAAGAAUUUCACAGUUUACUCUUCUUCUCAAAUGUAUCGGGAUUGACAACCCUUCCAGACUCAUCCCCCCCCCCCCCCCCCCCCCCAAAGAAAUUUCUUAACAGAGAAGGUUAAGACACUUGAAGAUAUGAAAAAAGGGUAAAAAGCCAAAAAGCAUAAAGAAACGAAAGAACAAUGGGAAAUGGAGGAGAAUCUCUCUUAUAAGGACAUAAAAACAACAAUAAAGCUACCUCGGGUCACCAAAUGACUAUAAGUAGUGAUUGGGACAAGUGUCAAAGAGAGGUAAUGUCUACGAAGGUAAAGGUGCACAACUAAAAAAAUGAACCCUCAUAGAUUGUGAGUCAUCAGAUCAAUCUUGCAUACCACACCAAAACCUCAAGGGGGGCAUAUCACACUCAGCCACUUUACCCUUACAAAGGACUCGUGCUUGGGGGGUUGUGGAUCCUCAUAUCUCAUUCAACCACUUUGCUCUUAACUGGGACUCGUACUUCUCUAAGUCAUGUUUUUAGUUCUGAUACAUCAAGCUUUGAGCACAAAGGAAAGCAUUUUGAUACUCAAGAGAAACACUGGAACUUUUGAAUAUAAGAUAACAUGAAGAAAGGUUAACAAAAUAGUCAAAGCUAUAAUCAGAAAAUGCAUCAAACCUUGAAGGCUCUGAUGAGAACAAGCUCUAAUGGACUCAUACUCUGAAGAAAGCAAGUUAUGAAAGACAUGUCGGCAGAUUGGGUGACUCUAACCUGUUUUGUCUUCUUCUGAAGGAACGUCGCUUUCAAAGUUUUGAUAGGUCUAUUUGUUUUCUUCUGACCACAUGCAGAAACAAAUAAAGAAAUUCAAUGAUAUAUAGAAUGUAAGAGAUCAAUCGUUAAUAAGCAACUGAUUUCUCUAGUACUACUCCAUGACAUUAUCCAAUUAGAGGCAAAGUUUUCAAAAUUGAUUUAAAGUUUCUCAAGGACAAUUUUGAUGCGUUGCACCAAAUGAUUUCUCAUUUCUCUCUUAUAUAAGGACCUAAGCAGUUUGAAGAAAUUAAGAGAUGAAAAUAUUUCACAAGUGUCAAAACUCUGUCGAAUUCAAAAGCGUUCAAUCACUUAAUUCUUACAAACUUUACAUCUUAGAAUUGCUUAGUGUAACAAGUUACUUGAACCUCAAGUUUUGUUUGCCACUCUCUUAGUAAAAAGUGUAAACAGAAUCUCAUUUAUUUGUUAAACUUUGAUGGUAUAAGUCCUCUUGUGUGAGGUAAUAAAGUCUCAACUUGCGUGUUUGAUAAAUUAUAAUCUUGUGUGAUUAUAGUGAAAAAUCAUUUGGAAGUGCAAGAGGACUGGACUAACCUCGGAUUAUUGAGUGAACUAGGAUAAUUGCUUGUGUUGUUUCUCUUCUCUCACCCAAUGACCAUCUGUUUGUUUUGUUUAAACACUUAAAAAGAUUUUCAAAAAAAGCCAACAUAAUCUCCCCUGCGUUUUUCUCACCUUCUAGGAUAAGAACAAGUGCCUAAAGUAAGAGCACAACCAAAGGUGCAAGUGGCUGCCCUUAUCUCGUAAACCAAAGUCGAACUGCUAAAUCCAUGGCCUUCAAGCGAGACAUAAGGUUACACAUAAGCUUGACGUGCCCGUCACUAUAGGAACGAACCGGCAAAAAGCUCAAUGAUAGACUCUUAUGUUGUUACAAACCAAAGGGGACCUAGAAACACUAUAUACAGAACCUCUGAGAUCAUUCCCGACCCAUGACUUAAUGGGUAGCAUUUAGGUGACAUAGCUUUUGGUGACAUUGUCCUUAUCUCUAUUAAUUAAUUAUUCUAAAAUGCAUUAAUGUCAUCAAAAAACUAUGUCAUCCAAGUGAAAUCCUGAUUACAAAAACCUAAGAGUUUCGUCUUAUUCACAGACUUAGUUUUAUAUUGUAUUAUCACUACAACUAUGAAUAAAAUGAACUAGUUGGGUGUUUGUAUAAUAAUGAUAAUGAUAAUAAUAAUAAUAAUAAUAAGAAUGGAUUUUUUUAAAUGCAAUAACAAUAAGGGACCGUGGGUCAUAAGUUAACACGGUUUCCUCCAACAACAAAAAAAAAUUAUGCUCACACGGUAACAACGCGGAUGAAACUAAGGAACAAGCUUUAAAUCAACAAAACAAAAACAAAAAAGAAGCAAGGAAGAUGCAAAGAAACUUACAUGGAAUGGAAAUAGCAAGGAAUGUUCGUGAAAAAAUCUAUAUAAGCAUGUUUUGUGUCCUCUCCACUCAUGAUUCAACAAAAAAAUUUCAUUUCUACUUUCACAAACAAUAACAUAGAUAGGCCAGACAGAGAAGUAUAAAAUCUUUGACACCACUGCUUGUCAUUCAAAAUUAAAGGUAUAUAUUUCCCCUUUCAAUUUAGAUCCUGUUGGUUUCUCCUUUAAUAGCAUGUUCUUUGUUCGAUUAAAUUAUAAGAAGGAAAGAAGGAAGGUACAAAUUUCAUUGUUCUCUUUUUUGUUUCAUAUUUAAUUUGGUUUCAGAUCUAGCAAUUAAAUUAAAUAAAUGGUUGGAGUAACACUAGAAAUCUGGUUUGACAGCAUGCAUUUUGUUGACCACGCUAUAUGGACAAACUUACCUUAUCUUAUCUUAUCUUAUUUUAUUUUAUUUGUUUAUUUGUACUGUUUUAUUUUUCCUUUUUUAAAAGUAAAUUCUUAUGUACCCUAAAACUUGAUUGAAUUUUUGUAUUUUGUAUGUAAAGUUUAUUUAAGUUUGAUUUUAAUUUUAAAUAAAUUAAUAUAAAAUAUGAUGUGACAUUGAUUUAUUGUGUGGUCAUUCUUUUAUUUUUGAGGUAAGUUUUUAUGUGGUUGUUUCGAACAAAGAACAUGCUAUUAAAGGAGAACAUGCUAAUAUUUCUCUUUAAUUUUUUUACUAAAUAAAUUCUCCUAUUCUUAUCCAUAACAAAAAAACAACAGAUCACUCCUAUUAUUUCCUUUUAUUAAAAAACAAAACAAACCUAUUUUUUUAUUAAAAACAAAAGAAAAUCAUCCCCUUUAUAUGAAAAACAAAACAAACCUAUUUUUUAUUAAAAACAAAACAAAAUCGACCCCUAUUUUUUUAUGAAACCUAAACUAAACUAAUUACCCUAUUUUUUUAUGAAAAAUAAAAUAAAUUAAUUUUGUUAAGUCUGCAACAACUUAAUCUAAUUUUUUUUCCUCCCUGAUCCUUUGUUAGGUUUGCAACAACUCAAUCCUAAAAGUUUGGCUCUAAAUUUGUAUCAUAUAUGUUUUUCAUUUCUCUCUCUAAUAACCGUUAAUAUUUUUCAAAGCAAAAAUAGAUAUCUUAAUCCUUAUUAUUUAUUAAGGAAAUCCUUAUUUUAACUAUAAAAGUAAUAAAUAAAAUUAACUCGUAAAACAAUAUAAUUUUAUAUUCUUUUUAUCUUUUUUCUUUAUCAUUUGAUUGUAUUAUUGUAUAUCUAAUAAUUUAAUUUGCGUUUAUUGAUCGAUCCGUGAUCUUACGGGUUAAAGAUUAUUUAUUGAUCUCUAUUAUAGUCGAGAAGACCCGUGCGUCGUACGGAUCAAAAGUCUAAUUUAUGAUUAUUUCUUUUCGUGCGGAGUUGGUAGCAUGAAUUUCAGAAUUUGAACCCGGUGAUGAUAUUCUAUCUUGCUAUCCUGAUUUCUUUUGUUCUUUCUUCUCCUUUUCUUUUUCUUUAGAUUAUUAAUGAUAUUCUACUUCUAAAUUUUAUAAAUUAGUUCAUAGGUCAUAAAUAAUGUUUGAUAAUUACUGGUUGAACCUGUGGAUAAGUUGACUAAGAGCAGAAAAGUUAGCAGAUUUAAGUUACAAUGUUUGAUAAAAUUAACGAUUGAAUUAGUUGAUAAAUAUAAAAUGUUAUAGAAAAAUAUUUUUAAUUAAUGUUUAGUGUUUUCCAUUAAGAUAAUAGCUACUUAUAUAAAAUAGCUUAUAAAAAACGUAAUAAAAAUUCUUAUAACUCUUGUGUAAAAAUUGUUACUAAAUAGGUCUAAUUUGACCAUAUGAACUCAUAAUAUAAACUUGAAAAUUGACUUGACCAAACCACAAUAUAAUUUUGCAUCCCUUGGUCAGGGGUUCUGGCUACACCACUAGUUGUUGUUCAAAGAUUUGAAGUACAAUAUCUGGUUUCAGUAGUUCCUCUACUUCUUCUUUUUUGUCAUUAUGCUAUAUAUUUAUAUUUUAAUUUAUUUGUUUCUUAACAUGAUGUAUAUAUGAAUUAUGAAAUGUUGACAUCAUAUUUCUGCUGCCACUUAGGAAAAACAAAACAAUAACCAUGCUCACUCUUGCAAGCCUUGGUUGGUACUUGGUAGAACAAGGCAUUCCACAGGGUAACCCAGAGGCAUUGCUAGUGUGGUCUACAUUUGAUUCAGAGUGAGGAUUUAAACUAUAAAUACUCUGUUACUUAUCUAUCCACAAAUUGUUUAUUGUUUAUUGAUAUUUUGUCAUUUUUAAAGUUCAAUGUAACACUAAUAUUAUUUUAUUAAUAACGUUCUUAAUUAUUUAUUGUACAUAGAAUGUGAGCUGAUAAAUAAUAAAAAAAAAAAAAACUUUACAUUACAGAAAAAUGACAAACAAUUUUAUCAAAAAUAAUAAAAUUUAGGUUUAAGUAUGCAAAUGUUUAUUUUUGUCUAUGUAAAAGAAAUCUUAUGUUUUUAGUCAUAUAAAUAUGUAACUUUUCCAUUUGAUCUUUGUUGUUAUGUUUAAAUCCUUACAAGAUUGAUUCAUAUUGAAAUCGAUCUUUUGUAACAUCUAGAAUAUUUGAUUUUAGUCUCUUUAAAUAAAGACUAAAAUGGAUAUUAUAAGAAGUAAUUUCAACGCGAACAAAUUUUGUUGAGACAAACGCUAAUGACAUAAACAAAAGAUUGCAAACUCGCAAGGACUAAAAAAAUGAUUUGUAGGCAUUGAUUAAAAACUUAUUUAAACCUAAAAUUUAUUCGAUUUUUAUCAAGUGUAAAUAGCCUUUAAAAUGAGUAUAAUAUGCAUUUGUUUCGUCAAUUCUUUAUGGAUAGUGUCUUUAUUCACCUCUGUUAUUGUUCGUGUAUGUAAACAUGAAUUACAAUAGAUGAGCUAUUCAGUGGAGCUUCCUAUGAGGAGCUCUAAGAAUACUCUAAAAUGACUAAGGUGAAAACACAAUGGUUAAGCUAGAAUGAAUCCAUUUACUUCUCUCUAGGUGUCUCCUUUUGUAGGCCCCACUUUCUUGACCUAAUGGGCCUCUUUGUUCUGGCCCAUUAACCCUCUAAGGUCCAUAUGACUCAUUUAUACCAGGCGCGUGGAGCUGAUCAUGUUUCAUGCUCAUUCGUACAAGGUGCUUGGAGUCAAGGGUAGACAACUCAUGUCACUUGUCCGUGCAAGAUGGGUGGCACGUUAUGAGAUACCUUCAAGAGGAGGACCACAAUGUUGCUUGGACAACAACCUGAGAGAGAGCUAGUGAUGUUGAAAGUGGAGCUAAUGUGACCUGAAUGAUCAAGCUGAGCAGGUGGAGCUCAAGUGACCUGAACGAUCAAGCUGAGCUGAGCAGGUGGAGCUCACGUGACCUGAAUGAUCAAAUCGAGCUAAGCAUAUGGAGCUCAUGUGACCUGAACGAUCAAACCGAGCUUAGCAUAUGGUAUAGUCAAUGUAUAGGAGAGUCCACGUGGUAUGGUUUUCCAUACCAAUCCAAUUAUGAAUUGGUUCUUUUGCACCAAGAUUCAUUCAAAAUACUUACAAAAAUCAUAUCUUUAUUUUGGAUUGCGAUUCUCUCCCUUGAGAUUUUCACUGGAGGGAGUCCGGUGAAAAUCUGCACGGUUUAAAUUCUUCUCAAUUAACUUUGAUCGCAUGUGGAAAAUCAAUGAAUCUAAGAUCUCAUUGUAGAAAAAUAUCACUAGCGAGGAUUUAUUCCCCUUUUUUUUUUCUCACUUUUGACAAACUUCACGAUACACCAAAUGUUGAAAGAAACUUCAGGAACCAAUAUCUUCAAAAGCCACUAUUUGUUCGAUAUUCAAUUCAAGGGAUAGAAAUCAACAAGUGUAGCAAAACAUGAAGGUUCAUUUGUGUUAUAAAAAAAUGUGCUGAGAAUAUUUCACUUGCAUUUAUAGUGAAAUCACUUGCAUUUACGAGCACAUAUAUGGUAAUCUCUUUAAACACAUACUCCCUCCGUUUUUUAAUAUAAGCAAAUUUUGAUUUUUAGGUUCAUUCAAUCAAUGAUGUAUGUGGUCUAUAAUAAACCACAUACAUCAUUGAUUGAAUGAACCUAAAAAUCAAAUUUUGUUUAUCUUAAAAAAUAGAGGGAGUACUUAUAAACCGGAGACAAGAACAUUAAAAAUCUUGGUAAUAACACUAAUUUAUAAUCACCAGUGAAAUGAAUGAACAACGCAUGCAGUGCAACAAGCAGGGGCGGUUUUAAGGCCCGGCGACCCCGGGCACUCGCCCGGGCUCCAGGCCAAAUUUUUUGCAAUUUCUUUUGUAAAUUCCUAUGAAUUUCUUAUAUAAACCCCUAUAAAUUGGGCAAUUUUUUUAUAUUUUUUAUUAUUUGCUUGCAAUUUCUUAUGUACGCCCUAUAAAUGUGUUGCAAAAUUUUUUUUUGCCCGAGCUUUACAAUAUUCCUAGCUCCGCCACUGACAACAAGAUUCACAUAAUAAGACCGUGGAAUAUAACAACAAUGAGGAACUAAUAGAAAAAAACAUGAUAUGCUGAUGGAAUAUUCUUGAUAGAGUUGUGCCUUUAUUUUUCUCAUUUUUCAUGUAGAAAUAGUGACAAGUGGCUUGGGGUCAAAUGUACUAUUCAUUGUUCUAUGUACGGCAUAUUUAGGGUUAUUGAUUAGGUAAUGGUGGUGUUUGAUAAAGUUUUAUGUAAUUAGACGUCUACUCGUGCUGCCGCAUGGGUCAGAUAAAGUUAAAAAUGUAACUUGAAUCAAUAUAAAAUUGUCAAUGUGGUGAUUGUUUGCUUUUGUUAAAAUGCAGUUGAAUUAGUGUGGUUAAUUUGAUGGAUUAUUGAGAACCUUUUGCCUUUUGUUAGGCACCAAUUCGCCAGCAUCUCUUUCAGACAUGAUUGCAGAGUCAUAUGUUGCAGAGGUCAUUCCAUGGGAAGUAAUAGAGCGAAAAAAUGGUAAAUAUGUACUACCUUCGUUCCUUUUUAAUUGUCACAUUUUGACAUUUUACACAAACCAAGACAAUCAAUAAUUGAUACUACUUUUGAUGCAAUAAGCUAUAAUUUUACUAUAAUGACCUUAUUCAUUUAAUAUCUCAUUUCAUAUAUUUCUCUCUCCGCAAUAAAUAACUAAGGAUAAUAUUGGUAAAACAAUAUUUAAUGUUGCAUUAAACUUUGAAAGUGACAGUUAAAUAGGAACAAAAAUUUUCUUCAAAAGUAACACUUAAAAAGGAACGGAGGGAGUUAUAAACCAGAAGUUUUACUACAUAAUUCAAUUGGAAAGAUUAUAACAGAUUGGUCCCAAUGUAUUGAGAAACGCAUAAGACUACAUGAAAAAGCAAUAGUCUGGUUGAUAUUGCUUGUAAUUGAUAACCGCAACAAUAAAUGACAGGUUGACAGUGGGAAACUCAAUAGACGCUUGUAUACAACAAUUAUAUGCAAAAAAUAAUGUUAUCUUCUAUGGUAAAAACUCAAGAGUCUAGUUCAUAAUGCUUGCACAUGACAUCAUAGGCCAACUUAAUUAUCUAAUAAAAAAUUGAAAUAAACAUUACAUUGCUGACCAUAGUUAAAAUAUUAUUUUAUCUUGUUUGGUAAUGUGUUUUUAUUAAAAAAUAUCUACAUUACUUUGCUGCGAUAGGUAACUUAUUUUUUUUUUUUGGCUUUCGCAUUGGUUUCCAACUAUCAGAGGUGAGCGACUAAUCCGACUCAUGCGUAUAGGCAUGCGCACUGGCCAAGUGUUGUUCUCCCUAGGAAUCGAAUCCGGUAUUCCUUGGGUACAUCCUUAAAAGGAGCUCCUUGCAACUGGAGCCCAAACAACUUGGUUAUAGGUAACUAAAUUUUGUGAACCGCCUAAUUAGCAUAAAAGCAUGCAUGUACAUUAAUUUUUUGACUAUCCAAUUAGUUGUUUAUUAAUUGAAGGAUUAUUUUCAUAUAUUUUGGUAACAAAAAAAAAAAUUAAACAUGGUCAUCAAUUUAUGCACCACGCGUAAUUGGUUGUAUUUUGACUUAAAUAAUAAUUUCAGAUUUUGACUUAAACAAAGUCUAAAGCAACCAUAUCAAUUGCUUUUCUUUGCUACUUAUUUGCACGGGUAGACUCAAAGAAAAUUUAAAGAUUUUUAAUUUUAUUGGCUAAGAUUGCUCAACUAAUUUAAAACAAAAAUACAUACUACAUAGGAAACAUUUUCAUUCUCUCGUAAGAUGUAUAAUUUGACGAUUUUUAAGCUACUACUCAAUUACGAUUCCAUGUACAACAUUAUUUGAAAAUUAUAGAGCAUAGGUAAAUUGCAUAUUAUUAUUAAUUGGAUUACAGCAAAAGUAAGACAUGUCAUUCAUGUCGUUUAGACUUUGAUAUCCAAAUGGAUUCUCUUAAUACUUCAUAUAUGUUCCCCUUGGACUUAACAAUAUAUAGACAAAGGUUUCAUUUAUAGAAGCAAGGCAUACAUAGCAGAAUCUCAUAUAGCAAAGUGCUAAAGAAACGUAAACACUGAAUAACCUGAUUUGAUUUAAGUACAUAAACAUAUGAGUUGUUGCAUUGGCAUCACUCACAAAAAUUAAAGUUCAAGGCGACAAUUACCUUCAAACAUAAUCAGAAGCUAAAUGGAAAUAACAAUGAAACAGACAUAAUUGAAACCAAAUUCAUAAAACAUAAAGAUAAAAGGCCAUAUAUGGCACCAAUACUUGAUUCGAACAACAUGAGUCUUAAAAAAGGGAAAUGAGCACAAAAAAACUAAAUAAAUUAAAUUGAUCCAGAAUGAAGACAAAAUCUGGAUUCAAUUAAACAGUACUUAAUCAGUUAAACUGUCAUGUUCCUCAUCAAGCCGCUUUCUCAAUCUUAACACUUUUGAGCUUACGUGGUUUGUUGAUUGACCUUUCUCCAAGAAUAUCAAUUCCCACCUCAGCAGAUACAUCUGCAUCAGUAGAUCUUUUUUCUCCAGNNNNNNNNNNNNNNNNNNNNNNNNNNNNNNNNNNNNNNNNNNNNNNNNNNNNNNNNNNNNNNNNNNNNNNNNNNNNNNNNNNNNNNNNNNNNNNNNNNNNGAAUAGCUUAUCUUAAAAUGUAAUUCUAGAUAUUUUAUCAUUUUGUUAUAAUUUUUUUGGAUACUAAAAUUUUGAAAAAAUCUUUAAAAAAAAGCUAUUUCAAAUAGCUUUUAUUAAAAUCAUUUUUGAAAUAUGCGAUUUUUACUAUGUAAAAUUUCGAACAAUAAAUAUAUAGGUUAAUGAAUGUCAAAGUGUCUUUUUUAACUUAUAAUAAAUGAAUUUGAAUUUGUAAAAAAAAAAAAAAACAAAUGAAUUUGAAUAACUUAUACUAUUUUUGAAUAAAUUUCAAAAAAAUCUAUUUUGAAAAAUACAAAGAAAAAUCUAUUUUUUUAGAAUCUAUAACAAACAGGCCCUCAAUCACUACUUUUAAUCCCAAUUUUUUUAUUUAAAUUUUAUAUUUUUUAAUCAAAUUGUGCAUAAAUGUGUAAAAUAUUAAAAAAAAAAAAUUAGAAUUUAAAAAAAACACAAAUUAAAUAUGAAUUUUUAAACGUAAAAAAUAUAAAAAAUUGAUAUUAAAUUCAUGUUUGUUAAAAAAUUCUAAUUAUUGUUUGAAAGAUUCUUAUAAUAUUAUGAAUUUUUUUAAAAAAAUUUAUUCAAAAAUAUGAUUCUACGUAUGAUUUUACUUUAAAGAAGGGACCAAAAGUAAAGAUAAUUUUUUUUUUUUUGAGAGACUAUAAGUUGAAGAAUUUUUUCAGAGAGACUAAAACGAAAAACUAACAUAUUUAUAGGGACAAAAAACAUAUUUAAAAUAGCUAAUACAAGCAUAAAACUUAACAUUAUUUGAGCAUUUACAUCAGCACUUAACAUCACUUCAGCACUCUUUGACAAAUUUAGACACACAAACUAUUAAAGAGAUGAAUGAUCAAUAUGAAACUUAAAAUAGCUAAUACAAGCAUAAAACUUAAAGAAUACAUGAUGUAUUUGGCCAAUAAAAUACAUAUAACUCCCAUUCUAAGGUUCUUUCAAAAAAAAAAAACUCCCAUACUAAGGUUUGAAUUAUUUUUUUUGAAUAAACUAAGGUUUGAAAUAUGAAACUUUCAAUUUUAGAGGCAAAGUUUUAUAUCAUAAACUUUUCAAUUUUGAAUCUCGCUGCAACAACUUGAAAUUUCUCAACCAAGUUAUUAUUCAUGGGAGAAACAUUCAAAUAAGUUUAAGAUGAUGAAAUGUCCAUGUUUAAGUGUUUCAUUUGAGUGGUGUAUAUUCUUCAAAAAUUUCAGUUUUGUUAAUUAGAGAAGAAUCGAAUAACCUAUUAAAUCAAAGAGGAAUGAUAUUUAUACAAUCAAUUCUAUACAACUUUUAUGAUAAUUAUUUUUUCUCUCUUCUUAUCGGAUAAAAACAAUAGAGAGAGAAAGAAGAAGAGAGCGAAUAAAAGCCUAUGUGAUCGUUUAAAACUUCAAAAUUAAGUAGAGUAUUUAGCACCCUUGUUGAUAAGUCUCGUAUAAUGGAAAAUACUUGGGUGCCAUAGUUUUUUGGUGCCAUUGAUGACAUAGGUUCAUUUUAGAUAAAAGAUAAUGAUUAAAAUAAAUUAUUUAGAUGAGAGAGAAUGAAUUGUUAAGAGAGAGAUAGACACAAAGUUACCUAUGAAACUAAUAAAACCAAAAAACUACCCAAGUGCUACCCUAUAAUAAUAGCGGUUGUUGAGGGGACAACAUUUGUCAUAUAAAAUAAAAGUAAUGGCAGACGAGCUAACUACGACAAAGGAAGAAUCAAAGAAAGAAGUAAAGAACGUAAGUGGAAAUUUACAAUGAACUUCACAAUAAAAUACAACAAUACUUCUAUAUAAAGAUGUGCAGGAUUUGCUUCUUCUCUUUCAACCACAUACAUAGUCAAAGAUAACCUGGUAACAGAGAAGCACAAAGACUUUGGAACCAUCGUGUUUAUCAUUUCAGAGGUAAAUAAAUAAACUUAGUUCUACCCUUCAAAAAAAAAAAAAAACUAAGUUCUAGAUCCUCGUUGUAACAACCUAGAUUUUCUCGACCUAGUUAGUUAGUUAACUACUCAUGGGAGAAACCACAGAACUGGAUGUUAUUUCAUCACCACAAUUUCAACAAAGAUUCAAACAUGACCAAAAGAAUCUUUGUUGCAUCAAGUGGUUUUCUUUGGUUAAGCGCUGUAUAUUUGUAGUUUUCUAUAAGAAGAAGAAUAAGGAUGAUUUUGAUUCAUGUGUUGGAGAUGAUGACGACAAGCAAAAAAUGGGAAAAGAUGUUGAAGGUAAGCUGAGAGAACUUCUUAAGAUUCUAGAUAAAGAAAAUUUUGGGAAGAAAAUUAGUGGAUCUAUUCUUAAGGGUCCUUUUGAUGUUCCUGCAAAUCCUGAAUUUACUGUUGGUUUGGAUUUGCAAUUGAUUAAGUUGAAGGUGGAAAUUCUCAGAGAAGGUAGAUCUACUCUUUUGUUGACUGGUCUGGGUGGAAUGGGAAAAACAACUCUGGCUACAAAGCUGUGUUUGGAUGAUCAAGUUAAGGGUAAGUACUAAUUCCUAUUUCAUUUUCUCAUACAUGAUUAUAAACAUGUGCUGAUUUGUUCUUGUUAUUUAAAAAUUUGUCAUGUUAUGCUUAUUUUGCUUAUCAAUACUUUCUAAAAAGAUCAUUUUUUCUAAAAAAUCAUUAAAUUCUGCAACUUAAUUAAGCAUUUAUAGUAUAAGUUAUUUCUUCUUUCAAAAAAAAAAAAAACGUAUAAGCUAUUCUAAAAUAAAAUAAAAUUCAGAGUAAAGACCUAAUUUGGUCCUUGAUAAUUUUCUCACGAAUAAAUUUUGUACCUGAAAAAAAGUAAUACCCAAACUAGUUCCUCAUAUUCUCAUACUUGGGACAAAUUAGUCAUUCUGUUAUAAUGAGUUAGACACUAGUUUUUCUUUCGUAUAAAUAUGUCAGAAAGUAAUGUUGGUAUUAUUGAUUGUGAGGAUCCAAAUUGGGUAAUUACUGAAAAAUUAAAAUAAAGUCAAACUGCUUAUGUAAAUAAACUAAAAAAAGCUUAUGACAUGUGUAUAAGCUGUUUUCAUAAGCUCUCUCAAAUUGUCUCACAAGUGCUUAUUUAUGCCAAUAAGUAAGCUCAAAUAAGCCAAUACAUCAGAAAUUUUUGUUGUUGUGGUAUAUGCAUAUAGUGAAAUUAAUACCUAUACUCACAUAUAUGCAUUUGUAGGAGAUAUCUGUUGUAAAAUAUUGGCAUAAAAUUGUCUUAAUAAUAAUCGACAUAUAAAAAUGAGCAACAAUUAAAUGUUAUAUCAAGUAAACUUAUCUGUGCUUAAAACCGUUGUAUCAUUUGGCCAUUGACACAAUUCUAUCAACAUCCUCCACUAACAGUUCAUAUGAAACUUACACAAUAGUCAACCGGUAUAUAACCUGAGGCUUGACGAAGUCACUGUCCUUAAGGAUUUAUCCGUCUCAUAAGUGCAAAUCCCUCCGGAUUCAGCAGGCUCUUCUUGAUUUAAAACCAAUGAUGCAGAACUGGCAAGAAGAAACAUUUACAGGAAGAUGAAGCCCCCAGAUAUGUGUAUCAGACUCAUGAAAAAUCUAUUAAUGUAGCGUAAAAAGCAAAGAGGGAAUUUUGUUUAGACUGUGCAGGAAAAUGAUGUUACAGAUGCUCAUAAACUUAAGGACAAAACUUUAAGAAAAUCAUGGUAAAUUUAGUUAAGAACCAUGUGACAAACACCUAAGGAAUUGUACUAAGUUUUUUCCUAAACUAAAAGGUAGGCAUUAACUUCUCAAAUAUAAUAGUAGCAAUUUAUACUCAAAAGUAUAACUGCCUUCUUAAUUAUUUUCGGUUGCAAAAUAAGACAUGUAACUAAAUUACCUUCAAAUGAUAGUGUAAAGGCUUAGAUUUCCCUCAAAAAAAAGAAAAAAGUGUAAAGGCUUAGAUUUAACCAAGUAAAAUAAUGUGGUCAAAAAAAUUAGACCAAGCCAAAUAUUAAUAUUAAUCAUAAAUAAAAUAAUAAUAAUUUUCUAUUAAUAUUAUUAAACUUUUGAAAUAUACAAAAAUUACAACAAUAUCAACUACUUUGGGCUUAUUGUUCUCUUUUGAUUCUUUAGGUAAAUUCAAGGAAAACAUUAUAUUUGUAACCUUCUCAAAAACACCCAUGCUGAAGAUUAUUGUAGAGAGAUUAUUUGAACAUUGCGGAUAUCCGGUGCCUGAGUACCAAAGUGAUGAAGAUGCGGUAAAUGGAUUGGGACUUUUGCUGAGGAAAAUUGAGGGAAGUCCAAUAUUGUUAGUCCUGGAUGACGUUUGGCCCGGAUCAGAAGACCUAGUCGAGAAAUUUAAAUUUCAGAUAUCAGAUUAUAAAAUUUUGGUCACUUCAAGGGUUGCAUUUUCUAGAUUUGACAAAACAUUUAUCCUAAAGCCUCUUGCUCAAGAAGAUUCGGUAACCCUUUUCCGUCACUACACAGAGGUUG
rnacentral:lncRNA from 1 species